GACGAACGCUGGCGGCGUGCUUAACACAUGCAAGUCGAGCGGUAAGGCCCUUUCGGGGGUACACGAGCGGCGAACGGGUGAGUAACACGUGGGUGACCUGCCCUCAGCUCUGGGAUAAGCCUGGGAAACUGGGUCUAAUACUGGAUAUGACUCCACGGUGCAUGUCGUGGGGUGGAAAGCCUUGUGCGGCUGAGGAUGGGCCCGCGGCCUAUCAGCUUGUUGGUGGGGUGANGGCCUACCAAGGCGACGACGGGUAGCCGGCCUGAGAGGGCGACCGGCCACACUGGGACUGAGACACGGCCCAGACUCCUACGGGAGGCAGCAGUGGGGAAUCUUGCGCAAUGGGCGAAAGCCUGACGCAGCGACGCCGCGUGUGGGAUGACGGCCU
rnacentral:rRNA from 1 species